rnacentral:rRNA from 1 species
UACGUAGGGGGCAAGCGUUGUCCGGAAUCAUUGGGCGUAAAGCGCGCGUAGGCGGCCAGAUAAGUCCGGUGUGAAAGCCACAGGCUCAACCUGUGAAUGCCGCUGGAAACUGUCUGGCUAGAGUCCGGGAGGGGCGAGUGGAAUUCCUGGUGUAGCGGUGAAAUGCGUAGAUACCAGGAGGAACACCGGUGGCGAAAGCGGUUUCCUGGCCGAGUACUGACGCUGAGGCACGAAAGCGUGGGGAGCGAACGGG